rnacentral:rRNA from 1 species
UACAGAGGGGGCAAGCGUUGUCCGGAUUUACUGGGCGUACAGCGCGCGCAGGCGGAGCUGGACGUGCCGUGUGACAAGCCACCGCUCACCGGUGGAGGGCCACGGUACACGACAGCUCUGGAGGCAGGGAGAGGGAUGUGGAAUGCCCGGUGGAGCGGUGAAAUGCGUAGAGAUCCGGAAGAACACCGGUGGCGAAGGCGGUCUGCUGGGCAGUUGCUGACACUGAGGCGCGACAGCGUGGGGAGCAAACAGG